ensembl:lncRNA
AAACCAGAUGAAGUUUAACAAAAGCAAAUGUGGGGUCCUGCAUCUGGGAAGGAAUAACCGCAAGUAUCAGUUCAGCUUGGAACAUGACCUGCUGGAGAGGAGCUCUGCAGAGACCUGAGAGUCCUGGUGGAUGACAGAUUGGCGAUGAGCCAGCAGUGUGCCCUGGUGUCCAAGAAGGACAAUGGGAUCCUGGGGUACAUUAAAAGGAUCGUGGCCAGCAGGUCAAGGGAGGUGAUCCUCCCCCUCUAUUCUGCCCUGGUCAGGCCUCACCUGCAGUACUGUAUCCAGUUCUGGGCUCCCCAGUACAAAAAAGACAGGGAUCUCCUGGAAAGAGUCCAGAGGAGGGCCACAAAGAUGAUAAAGGGCCUGGAGCAUCUUCCCUAUGAGGAAAGGUUGAGCAACCUGGGUCUGUUCAACCUUGAGAAAAAAAGACUCAGAGGUGAUUUUAUUAAUGUUUAUAAAUAUCUUAAGUGUGGGAGUCAAAGGAACAUGGCCAAACUCUUUCCAGUGGUCUGUGGGGACAGGACAAGGGGAAACAGCCAUAAACUGGAGCAUAGGAAGUUCCAAUAUGCAAAUAGACACGAAUAUGCAAAGGAACUUCUUCACAGUGAGGGUGACACAGGCACAUGUACAGUGAUCUGUGGCCCUGCUUCAGCUGUCAGCACAGAGCUCCUCACACUCCCUACUCUCUGUAAUCUCUACCAUAUAGCUAGUUUUGGGUACACGCAUCAUUUUCUCCCCAGUUACUAGUGGUUGAGACGCCACUGGCUCCACUACUGACACCACAGGCAAGGGACACUCGCACUCCUGAUUUGUAUUGAGUAGCUGGCAAGCAGUUCAUUCUUACUGUUUUCAACAAUAACUGGUAUUUAGUCCUUGUAAAAUGUACAAAGGAUAGAGAGUGAUACUACACAGACAGUUGAUACUACACAGAGAUUUAACGAGAAGAUAGGAAAGAAUUCAGUGAUCAGGCUCAGAGAUAAGUCAGACAAGCACACUGACCAUCCUUGUUGUAUGUAUGACUGGCCAUCUUCUGUUCGUUCUUUGUUCCUCCCUGCUCUCCUUUCUCUUGCACACUACCUUAUCAGUUUGCACAGCCUGUCGCUGACAUCUUGAACUUUUAUGUCUGCAUUCUUAUCAGUUUAAAAGUCCUGGUUUGCUUGCAGUUUCUUGAUAGUGAAUCAGUUAGUGACACAAUUUAAAUUUGAUUUUGGUUAUUCUCUUCAUUUACAUUGGUUGGUCCAGUUUUAUGGCAAGGUCCUUAGUGAUAUGAUCUUACUGAAAAAAUAAUGAUUCUCACACUCACAUUAAUGUAACUGACUGACUUGUACAUCCUUCUCAUGUCUGUGUCUCUGUGUGCUCUUGUGUAUGUCUUUCUUGUUUUCUUAGCACCCCUUUCUGCAUUUGACCAGAAGGGAUGCCCCUCUCUACAAGAAAGUCAUUGAAGCCAUGGAGUGUGUCCAGAAAAGGGCAAUGACGCUGGUGAAUGGUCCAUUUAGUUUGGAGACGAGGAGGUUCAGGGGAGACCUUAUGGCUUUCUACAACUACCUGAAAGGAGAUCGUGGUGAGAUGGGGGUUGACAUCUCCCACAUAACUAGUGAUAGGAUGAAAGAAAAUGUCCUCAAGUUGCACCAGGGGAGGUUCAGACUGGAUAUUAGGAAAAAUUUAUUCUCCAGAAGAGUGGUCAAGUGUUGGAACAAGGUACCCGGGGAGGUGGUUGAGUCACCAUCUCUGAGUGUUCAAGAAAAGUUUAGAUGUUGUACUAAGGGACAUGGUGUAGUGGAGAAAUAUUGGCUGUACGUGGACAGUUAGACUAGAUGAUCUUAGAGGUUUGUAUUAUCUCUUUCCCCAUGCCCAAGUUUCUGAUAACAUCUUUGAUAACAUCAUGCUCCUGUAUCUGUUGAUGGGUUAUUUUCUUUACUUAGCUACAUCCCAAUCCCAGUACUGCAGUGAAAUAAGGAAGAUUUUUAAAGCAUAUUCCAAGCCUUAACAUAGCUGUCAUUUCAGUUUUACGUGGCAGAAAAGAUUGAUCAAUUUUUACAGCUGGAACAAGACUGUUCUAUUUUGAGUUAACAGAAACCUCUACUUGUUCUGUUUAAUUAAUUGUUAACAUCUAAAGACAUUAUUUUAUAGAAAAGGACCCUACAAAUAUAUUGUCUUUUCUAGUUUUGAAAUACUGGACUUAUAAUCUUUAAAAUAUACUGUGGGCUUUUUUUGUUUGUUUUUGUUUUUGUUCCAUUUCUGUUUCUGAAUCUGUCUUUUGGUCUCAGAUAAAAACAAACUACAGUUAUAAACUAGUCAGAGAUAUUAAAGAACAUUUCUUUGCUUACCUAAGAAAAACUAUGGUAAUUUAACCUUUGGUGCACUGUUUUCAAAUGUAUUCACCAAAUUAAAUCAGCUAUCAAAUUUUUAUUUUAUGAUAUUUAAUAUAUGCUAAGUUACUCAUAAUUUAUUUCUAGUCCAGAGCUCCUGCCUAUGAGUUAUACCUAUACAAACACUCAUAACUAUUAUACAAGUAAAAUAUCACAGUAUCCUUAAAACAGCUCCAGCAAAGGUGUAGACUAACCAACUCCUUCAUAUUUAAAAGGUCACAUAUUAAAUAGAGAAAACUCAAAUAGAAUCAGGGUUUGUGCACUACUCAGCUUCAGAUAAGACAGAAAAUGCUUUGAGGUUUUCAGUUUAAUAACUUCAAGAAAAUUUUUUUCUUAGAACUUUUUUGGAAACUUUUAACCUGUAUGUAUUGUUUAGAAAUCUGAUGGUAGGUAACUUAGAGCCAUAUGAAUCAUAAAAACAUAUUUUAUCUUAUAUUAUUUGUCUAUUGUGCUUGUGUUUUAACUAAAAAGUCCUAACACAGUCAAUAGUUAGUGAUAAACACAGUAACAAAUUCCUUACAGCUUACAGUUGUAGAUCAUCAAUUUUGAGUCAAGCUUCUGUUCAUCUGCAUUUUUAAUUUCUGGACUGUGAGAAACAAAACCACUGGGAGGUUGAAACUGCAACCUCGUGUGUUUAUUGAAAAGAAGUCAUUUGUGAAAGGAAAAAUUGCUUCAGAGAUUUAGCCAAUGGGUUAAUAUUUGGGAUUCAGAUUCCAUCAAACAUUUAUCCUGGAUAAAUGCCAAUUGGGAUUUAAUGUGUAAAGGUAUAGGGCCAAACUACAAACUGAUUGUCAAUUCAUACACAUCUAGACUUCCAAAGUAUGCAUUUAAAUGCAUUUACUUUCCCACUUCCUGGUAUAGUUGUUUAUUAUUAUUAUUAUUAUUAUUAUUAUUGUAACUGAAAUGAUAUACUGUGACACAUCACAAAGAAACAGAAAUGAGUGCCAGGAUAAAGCAGGUUUGAAUGUAAGAUUAGUAAGAAAACUUCUAAACAAUAUCAUCCAGAUAGUUGCCAGCAAGAACUGAAAUGGAUUCAGUCAAUGUCAAAAAGAACAGAGUUAAAAAUGCAUUUAUAAUUUAAAUUUUUAUGCAUCAUAAUUAGUGUGAAAUCAUUAAACAUCUAUUGAAACUUGAUUGAUUAUCCUUAGCAUUUCUUGAAGAAUAAACAGAAAUGACAAAAAUAUCUCAGCCUGUCAGGACAUGAGACUGACCUAACACAAGUAAAAUAAAAAUAAAAGUAAUCCUAAAGGAAUUCCUUUCAAAAUGUUAACUUAUUUUAGCGUUUUCUACCUCCCUGUAAAGGGGAAAAGCUAACUCUAGACAAGGAGUAUCUGUUGACAUAGGAAUCUCAGGCCAGAAAAACAAAUAACAUUUGAGUAGAUCACAGAGGAAGCAAACAUAUUAUCACUCUGUUGUUUGAUGUAGCCACCUCGGAAAUAGAGUUUUCUGUUAGGCAAUGGGAAAUUCCAAAUUAUGCAAGCAGCUUGUUUCUAUUAAUGACGUCCAUCUUGUCUUAUUUAACUCCUGGAUAAUAGAGAAGUUUUAAAUCCGGAAUAUUCCUCUAGCGCCUUUUUGCAGGUAUACAUCUGUAUACGUGUGUUAUAGGCAAAUACAUGGACAUUGACUCCAAUGGCCAUAUUCACAAAUUUAAAAAUAUUCAGAGCCCAUUAGUUUAUCUCCUCUCCCUCUGGAGAACAGUUCCAAAUGUUCCUCUCAAACUGUCUUUCCCAGAUAAGUUAAUUCCAUUGCAAGACAUUUCUAGCUUCCAGAUUUCUAUAAUUUUAUAAUGUCUCCUUUUGCUGGGGAAGGAGAAUUAGUUAAUUUUUAAAACUUUUCUAAUUAAGAGCAUAAAAAUUUAAAUAUAAUUGCCAUUAUUCAACUAACAAUUCUUAGCAAAUGGCCCUUGUGGCCAUUUCUACAAUGAUUGUUGGGUCCCUAACUAGUAUUUAGGUGACACAACUUCUGCUGAAGUCUGUAGCAGUUUAGGCAAUAUCUGUCAUUCACAUUUCAAGCUAAAAGAUUCCAGAAAGCAUUUAGGUGCUUAGCUUUUAAAUUGCAAUUGACUUCUCAGGUCUGCUCUGGGGAAAUAAUUUAUUUCCACUGGCAAAUAACCUGUUCACUGUUUAAAUGACUGUUGGGCAAACCAACUUCGUGGUAUAAGCGCCCCGUAAUAGGAAUUAGGUAGGAAAAUAUGAUUUUUUAACUGAAUAUCAUGGGUUGAUAAUGGAUACAUAAUGGACAUAAUUUCUCUUUAUUGUUUCCAUGUGGAUAUGCAUCUGUUCACUUAAGAAUGACCUUCAUUUACUUUUGAAUAGAAAACAGAUGGCUCCAGAGAAAUAAGUCAUAUUCAGUGUAUAUACAUAAGUGUGUAGAUGGAAAAUCCAAUGAAAAACAAGAUGAGAGAGGACAGGACAGUUAUGAGACUGUUGACAGAACAUUACAAUAUAAGACUGAAAUUCAGAGGAACACAAGAUAUCUAGGAAUUUGUAAUUAUAUUCACCCUUUAGGAAAUUGAACAUUUUAUAUUUAUUGCAUCCCACUCUAUAUCUCAACAUAAUAAGCAAUGUGCUCCGCUAAUGACGUGUUGAUAUUGGAGGAAUGAGAACAAUGGCCUUUGUGCUAAUUAGUUAUAUGAAGAAUCCAGUGAGAUAUAAAUUGUUAGACUUUAUGGUACCUUGAUUAUACAUUUUAAUCAAAACUGAAGGUAAUACAUAAUGCUAAUUAUACUACAGAAAUGAAUUCAAAUAGAUACAUUGUAACAUACUUGUAGGUUUAAGUGCCUUUCUCUUUAGAGGUUUCUAAUAUGUCUCCUAAUUAUCUAAUUAGCAACAAGUAUUUCUAAUUUUUUUAAACUUUUAAUGAGAAAUUCUGGCAGGCUGAACACUUUCAUUUCUAGCAGAAAAUAUGUGUGAAUUGUAAUUGCUACAUUAUGAAAAGCAAUGUAUCUUCAUCAAUUUAUACAACAAAGUGUAAGGACAAUAUUUUAAAGCUUAAACUUGGCAGUAAAAUGUGAUUAAUAUAGAUAAUUUUUAUAUGAGAUCUAGCACUUUCAGAAAGUGCUAAGGGAAAAGUUCAGAUAGCAACAGUAUCCUUCUGGACAUACUUUGAUGUUGUGCAUAUGUUAAUUAAAAAUAUUAAUGCCCCUGCCUGUUCUCAUUUAUCCAGAACACUAAGGUUUGAGAAGAUAAAGUAAAACAACUUGAGCUCAUGAAUCUUGUACUUCCUACUCUAGUGAAUCAUAGACUCUGAGUCAUUUGUGUUAAUGAUAAGAGAAUCACAUAUGGGCCCAUUUAGAAAACCUUUAUUCAUAUAUGUAUUAUCCCAUUUCUUGUAACAAACUGAAAUGCCAAGUUUUCACUCAGUGAGAAAGAUUUUUUGCAAGAUAAAAAACAUGUAAGUGAACUUACAAAACAAACAAACAAACAAACAAACAAAAAACCCUGAUAUAUGUGUAACUUGAAUUAUUACUACAGUAAACAUGGUAUAGACCAUUUUCACCAGAAACAAGAAGGAAGAGCUUAGGAAAUAAAGUAUCUUUGGAUUUCCUGAGACCUUCAGGAUAAAAUUCUACUCAAAUGAAUGGAAGGCAUACAUUCAGUCUCCAUCAUAUAUAAUCACAUAUCUAGCCCCAGAAUCAUAAACAUUUUAGAAGUACGCAUACUUUUAAGUGUUCCAAAUUGUGCUAGAGACAGCUUUGUUUCUAAAAUACAAUAUUUACAAAAUAGAACCCAAUCUUACCCUUGAUCUCUUAUUUUUGUACAACCUUCUGAAACUUUGUGAUUCUACGUUGUAUAUAGAGUUCACCAAUUUCCUCCUUGCUCCUCCGGUCUCCUCUGAGUGGUUUCAGAAUGACUGCUCAUGCAUGUGAAGGAUCAAAUCUCCCUUUGGUAGUAAAGUAUUGAUUUUUCUAUCAAUGUUCAGCUUAAAAUGAGCUUCAGAAAAAGUUUCUUUGAAGAUUUUUCUCAUCUUCUUUUGGUUACAUGGGAGAAGAAGUUGCAUUUUCUAUCCAUCUCUGCAAAGAAUUGGAAUGAACACCAGAAAUAAGAUUUUGUUCAAUGGAAGGAUAAUUAAAAUAUUGUCUAAUUUUUAAGGCACAUUUGCCAAAAUACUUUUCACAGUCUUUCUAAGUUUGUUAUUGUUCCUGCAGUUACAACAAAAUCAACUCAUAAAUAAAAUAAGAUCACAAAAUAUAUAAUAGAGCCAAGGGACCACUGUUGGGGAUUUCAGCAUUUUAACGGUCCCAAUUACCUAAUUAAUACAUAAAAAUGUAUUUUUAACAACACAGUUCAAAUUGUUUUGCAGUGAAUUCUUCCUAAGCUUGUUACCUUUUUCUCUGGUGGCAUGCUUGCCUUUCAAUACUGUCCCCAUGGGUUCUCAGAUGAACACUUUCAUCUUAUUUAAUAUUAGGGGGAAGGUGAGAAGGCUAACAGGAGCUAUAAGGCACUGCACGCUCCUGUCAGAAAAAACAUUAUAGUAGGGAAGCUGUCAGGUCACAGCUUGAGCCUCCUUCUCCCUGAGGGCCAGAAGCUGUAGAAGCUCCACAGAGGGUUGUUCAGGUCAGGCCCUGACAGUGAGGGCCCAUCACCCAGCCAGAACCAGAGCAGCCAGGGGGCUCCAGGGACGUAUAUCAUGUCAUUACCACAAUGUCAAGCUGGAGUGUGUCAGGUUGUGACCCUAGUCCUUCCAGCAGCACUCCCUCAGCCAGCUACAGAUCCCAACAGAUGGGAGACAAUCGUGCCAGCACGGGUGUGGGAAACCUGCCCUUGCCAAAGACAAAAUGCAGUGAGACCUAGGGCACAGAUACAGCAGUUUCAGAUAUUGACUGUGAGCAUUCUCACUAUGCCUAUGUGAAUCACAUCCUGACAGAGUCUAGGAUAGUUAAAGCAGAUGUAGAUUUACAGUGAGGCUAGGGGCACUUGCUGAGGUAUAACCCAUUUUGAUCCAGGUAAACUAGUUUUAGAAGGAAAGUUGCACUCUAAAAAUGUCUGAAACCUGAGACUUUUUGUAAUGUUUUUGUACUGUCUACUUGUAAUAAGGUGUGGACAAAAAACUGAAAAAGUUUUCAAAAGAAAAGUAUUGUUUAAUUUAAAUAUAUUUAGUAGUUCAUUAGAUAAUAUGUGUACAAAGUUAUAAUUAGUAUGGUAAAUAUGUAGAAACUCAAGGAAGUAUUUAAUAUUUUUCCUUGAAUCUUUCUGUCUUGCUUAAGUACAAUUUACAUCAUUCAUAUGCUGAAAAACAUUUUUGGUUUGUCCUCCUGCUUAAAUUGUUCUGCAUUUAAUCAUAAUUAAUUCCUGAAAAAAUUAUUUCGUCAUUCAUCCCUGACUUGCAUCUCACUUCCCCUGAGAUUUUUAUUGUGGCAUCUUUCACAAAUAAAGUUGCAUAUAAAUGACAAGGCAAUAAUUCUAAUCAAGUAGCAGUGUCUCAGAGUGUGCAUUGCUCUUGGUUUUUGAUCAGCACAGAGGUGUUGCACUAUUUUUUUGCUCUAUAUCCAUUUCUAAUGAGUGCAAUACAGAGAACAGAUAAUGAAACAAGUAAGGUAAAGCAGAAGGAAAACAGAUUUUGAAAUGCAUUUAAUGAACGACUCACCAAAAUGCUAAAACACAGAUGUCAAAUUACUUUGACUAUGCAAUCUAAGAUAUUUUCUGGCAAUUUUUUUCUGCUCAGCGGUGCUCAGUAUUUCACACGAUACUGAGUAGUGCUGAUGAAAACAAAUUAAAUCCACCCUCAGUUUCCUUCUUCCCCAUCCUCCGCCAAAAGUGUACUAGAAGAUCUGAAAUCAGUCAUAUAUAAAGCAAAUAUUCUUAACACAAAUAUUUUUUAACCAGGAAAAUGUAGCUUGAGUGAGUUGCUUGUUGAACUAAGGUUUAUCAUUAUUUUAUUAACUACAUAUUUUUUUUCAUAUUCAUACUUAAAAAUGCUAGCCCCAGUUGGCUCAGUUUCUAAAACUGAGUAUUCAGAUUUUCAGAGGAUGUGAACUAGUUUGAUGGUAGUAUGCCAAUUAAUAUAAUCAGAGAAAUGGACCAGAGUGUAUUACCAUCCUAUACAAACAGGGUGACCUAUCUCUUCCCUUUGUUUUGGGAUCCUUGACACUUUUAGCCUCAAUGACACAUAAGCAGAGACAACAAUACAGGACAUGUUGUUCCCCAGCAGGUUUCUGGAGCUUCAUUAAUAAUGCCAUUCAACACUAUUCUCAGGGUCAGUCCCUCUCUAGUUUUCUAAUCUCCCAGAACAAAGUACUGUAAAAAUAUAUAACCUCUCUAUCUGGCAAGCUCAUGAAAACUCAGAAUUUUAUCAUUUGUCAAAAAGCCUUUUUUCAGGAUCCCUGUCUCUCUCUUUUAUUAAAUACAGAUCUUCAUCACCAUCCUCAAGUGCUGCAGAUCUGUCUGCCCUUUUGAGCUUUCUAAUUUUUCUUUUGUUUCCAAAGUCUUUAUAUUUACAGAUAUUUUCUUAUAUUGCAGAUAUUUAGAAGUUGGUGCUAUACUCUGCAAUGCAUAUACAAAACUCCUAACUCCUUGUACUUUUCUGGGAAAGAAAUCAAACUGUCAGGAAAAGAAAGAAAUGCUUGAUAAAGUUUGUUAUUUUGUAAAGUACUGAAUUAAGUAAUUUCUGAAUUAAGUUUCUAAUAAAACAAUAAAUUAACACUGUGGUACUGAAAAAAAUAAAGUAGACUUGUCUUAUUAUUUAUGUUUAUAUAAACCCUAAAACUUAUUAUACCCAAUAUUUGAGAAAAAUCUAUAGAUCUCCAAAUCAGAAGUAAUUGAUGAAAGGCAAAAAACUUAUAUUUAAUUUUGGCUUGAUAAAAGAUUUACAUUAUCCAAAAAGAAGACAACGGUUACCUGAAGCACAUGACAGUAAGCUUACUUAGUUUAGUAAUAAUGUGUCUUCUACUGAGAUUCUAAUGUAUGUCUAUCUCUAAUUUUCAUGUACAUUUUUGGAUAGAGAAGAUGACUGCUUCAUAUUAGCAUUCUUCUGUUUGUUAUUUUUUCAUUAAAUUAUUUUCAGUCUUCUUGUAUUUUGCUUUGUUGAUCCCUGUGUUUGUUUUAAUUACACCAUUUGAUGUGUGAAAAUGAAAAUAAUAUAACUUGGUAAUUCCUAGACUGUCACACUUCCUUUGUGACUAUAAGCAAGUAACUUGCUUUCCUUCAUUUGUUGGUUUGUACAAUGAAGAAAUAAAAUUGAUAUGGAUAUUUUCAUAAAUGAUCUGUAUGAGUAUUUGCAAAGCCUUUAGAUAAAUAAGACAAAACUCCUUUCACAAAUUAAGCAUAAGUUGUACAAAACAAAGGCUAUUGUCAGUUUCCAUGUUUCAGAGUGGUUUCAAGCAGUAUAAUCUAACCCAUUUCUAACAAAAAAUGUAUGUAUGGUGAGAUAGAUACCUUUAACCCUCCACAACAAGCUAUCAAUUCUGAGCCUACUCCUGCUCAUCUUAGAGCUCUUUUUUUUUUUUUUUCCCCUCAUUAUUUGGGUCCCUGAGCUGAGGUCUCACAGUUCUGUGCUCUACAACUUCCUUUAGGAAGCCAAAGGAGAUGUCCUGAAUGGCAGGUUCCUAUCAUCAAAAUCCCAGACUUCCCAAGGAUUUUGCUCAUAAACUAUUAUGUUCACUCCUUUCUGCUCUAAGUACUCACUUUGUACUCUCUUCCCAUCCCUCUAUAUGUUGUCAUGUUUCUCCCUUGACCUUGAGUACACAGCACCAGUGCACCACUCCACCUGUCUUUCUAGCUGUAAAGUUUCUCAGUGUUCAUCAACUUCAUCUUUCUCGCCAUCCAAAUCCUGUAAAUAACAUGGUCAACUCUUCUGCAUCUUACAUAAUUUAAAAAUGUUCAAGGGUCUGGUGAUUACUACUGCUGCUGUCUCACUGAUCACAGCAGUUUGCUCUUCUUCCUCACCCUCCUUACUCAGGAUCAUUGCUAGGAACAUAAACU